UUUAAUCCGAAGCAACGCGCAGAACCUUACCAGCCUUUGACAUGGCGGGACGGCUGAGAGAGAUGUCAGUCUUCACUUCGGUGACCCGCGCACAGGUGCUGCAUGGCUGUCGUCAGCUCGUGUCGUGAGACGUUGGGUUAAGUCCCGCAACGAGCGCAACCCACGUCCUCAGUUGCCAUCAUUGAGUUGGGCACUCUGGGGAGACUGCCGGUGAUAAGCCGCGAGGAAGGUGUGGAUGACGUCAAGUCCUCAUGGCCCUUACGGGCUGGGCUACACACGUGCUACAAUGGCGGUGACAGAGGGAUGCCAACCCGCGAGGGUGCGCCAAUCUCGAAAAACCGUCUCAGUUCGGAUUGCACUCUGCAACUCGAGUGCAUGAAGUUGGAAUCGCUAGUAAUCGUGGAUCAGCACGCCA
rnacentral:rRNA from 1 species